GUCAGAAAAAGUUCAAAACAACUGCAGUUUUCAUCCAUAUUAACCCUUUCUUUUCCCAUAAAUUACUAGGAGAACAUGGAAUAAUGGUAAUAUCCACAAAAAUGAUAAUAUAACCACAAAAGAAAGAAUGAAGUUCCGAAGACAGGUGCACCAUAUUCAUUAAUAAGAAACUAAGCUUUCAUUAUUCUAUGAAAGUAAGUUUCAAGCAGAACCAACUCCAGACUUGUUUGUUAAAUUGAAACAUUCCUUU
rnacentral:misc_RNA from 1 species